rnacentral:rRNA from 1 species
AUUGAACGCUGGCGGCAUGCCUUACACAUGCAAGUCGAACGGCAGCACGGGAGCAAUCCUGGUGGCGAGUGGCGAACGGGUGAGUAAUAUAUCGGAACGUGCCCAGUAGUGGGGGAUAGCCCGGCGAAAGCCGGAUUAAUACCGCAUACGACCUGAGGGUGAAAGCGGGGGAUCGCAAGACCUCGCGCUAUUGGAGCGGCCGAUAUCAGAUUAGCUUGUUGGUGGGGUAAAAGCCUACCAAGGCGACGAUCUGUCGCGGGUCUGAGAGGACGACCAGCCACACUGGGACUGAGACACGGCCCAGACUCCUACGGGAGGCAGCAGUGGGGAAUUUUGGACAAUGGGCGCAAGCCUGAUCCAGCCAUGCCGCGUGCGGGAAGAAGGCCUUCGGGUUGUAAACCGCUUUUGUCAGGGAAGAAACGGCUCUUGAUAAUACCGAGAGCUAAUGACGGUACCUGAAGAAUAAGCACCGGCUAACUACGUGCCAGCCGCCGCAGUAA